rnacentral:rRNA from 1 species
UACAAGUACCGUGAGGGAAAGUUGCAAAGUACUUUGAAGAGAGAGUUUAAGAGGGCGUGAAACCGCAAAGGAGGAAGCAAAUAAUGUUGACAUGACUAUUGACAUUCAGCUUAUUCACUCGAUGUCGUUGUGCUAGUCUACUGCCUUCGGUGGUCAGUCUGGUGUGAGAUGUCGUUUGGGUGAGUGCACUUGUCGGUAGCGGCGCUGAGACGUUUGUUACUGUUGUCUGAAGGUAAAUGCGGUUGGUGUACUUUCGGGUAUUUCCUGCAUUGCUGUAGGUCAAUCGGUGGUAAAUGAGAUGCUUGAGUACGUCUAGCUAGUUGCACUAUGUAGUUGGGCUAGUAGGUCUGACUUGGCGGACGCAUGCGUCCUGUCAUUCUCAGGCUUGCUGGUGUGGCUGCAUUAGUACAGACGUAAUUCUCGGUGUAAGAGUCAAUCAAUUAUUUGACCCGUCUUGAAACACGGACCAAGGAGUUUAGCAUUCGUGCGAGUAGUUGGAUGAAAAGUCUGAAUGCGCAAUGAAAGUGAAGGUCGGUGUAUGCUGGCUGAUAUGAGAUCGUGGGCUCGUCCUGCGAGCAUCAUAGUCCCGUUUCGAAGGCUUGCCUUGAAACGGAGGUAGAGCAUGAAUGCUAAGACCCGAAAGAUGGUGAACUAUGCCUGAGCAGGAUGAAGUCAGAGGAAACUCUGAUGGAGGUCCGAAACGGUUCUGACGUGCAAAUCGAUCGUCUGACUUGGGUAUAGGGGCGAAAGACUAAUCGAACCAUCUAGUAGCUGGUUCCU